UCGUAACGCAGAAGCUCAGUACUCCCCCAACCUUCAGAGACACAAGGAACCAAGAUGCUUAGGACAGCAUAUCUGGAUAAGCACAAGGAAUAAAACUGUUUGUUAGCAUCUCAGCAGCCUUGACCACUGAAUGCUUAAAAAUUACCACCAACGCCUGACAAUCCUUUAGCAAACACUACAACAAAACCAAGAUAUUUUUUUCUGACAUCAUCUGUACUUUUCAAACUAUUGAGUGAAAACUCACUAGGUGCAGUUAACCAAACACUCAUGGAGCUACAGACUAAUUUAGAGAUAAUCCACUACAAGGUACAACAUCAAGGUUGAAAGUCAUUUUCCAGAAACUGAUGCUGACCUCUGGGUGGUGAUCUCUGAGGGAAUGAGUCUUAUCAAAGACAAAGAUCUCUGUAAACAGUGAGUCAAAAUGGGAUCCUGCUGAAUGAAAGAAUACAGACGAGUGUCUGUUACUCUACUCUGUAAUGUCCUGAAUGACUGACGUUGAUUUUAUCACUGUAUUUGAUAGAUAGUAAUACUAACAAAUUCACUGUGCUGUACUGAACUACUUAUCCCAGUAUGCCUAAGGUUCCUGCUUUAAAGAGGGCUUCAGAAGCAUUAAUGAUUAAAUUUAGUAUAUUAGUCUAUUAACAUGUAUUUUGGGGGAAGAACAGAGAGAAUUCCUAGAACACCCUACUAUUAUCUCUCAUUUCCUUUCCAGAAAAAGUAAUAAUGCAGCUCUUCAAAAUAAUGACAAAUUCAGCAGUAUGAUUUGACUGCUGUUAAGGCCUACCCCUCUAGGGCAUCCUCUGUUGAUUCCCAGAAACAUAGAAAAAGACACAACUUCCUAGAGGAGCGGGUCCUUAAGUAUGUUAAUAUGGUAAAUGAACAUGCAACUGUUGCAGAGAAACCUUGAUAUGCUUCAGUGAGGAGAUGGGUAGGAGGGCUGCAGGUGGAAUGUGAUCUGUUCAGUGUAGUCAACUGCUGUUCUAUAUGCUAACAGUGUAGUUUUAUAUAGGAAAUAAAAUAUUU
rnacentral:lncRNA from 1 species